rnacentral:rRNA from 1 species
UCCGUAGGGUGCGAUCGUUAAUCGGAAUUACUGGGCGUAAAGCGUGCGCAGGCGGUUUGAUAAGCCAGAUGUGAAAUCCCCGAGCUCAACCUGGGAACUGCGUUUGGAACUGUCAGACUAGAGUGCGUCAGAGGGGGGUGGAAUUCCGCGUGUAGCAGUGAAAUGCGUAGAGAUGCGGAGGAACACCGAUGGCGAAGGCAGCCCCCUGGGAUGACACUGACGCUCAUGCACGAAAGCGUGGGGAGAAAACAGG